GAUGAACGCUGGCGGCGUGCCUAAUACAUGCAAGUCGAGCGAACAGAUGAGGAGCUUGCUCCUCUGACGUUAGCGGCGGACGGGUGAGUAACACGUGUAUAACCUACCUAUAAGACUGGGAUAACUUCGGGAAACCGGAGCUAAUACCGGAUAAUAUAUUGAACCGCAUGGUUCAAUAGUGAAAGACGGUUUUGCUGUCACUUAUAGAUGGAUCCGCGCCGCAUUAGCUAGUUGGUAAGGUAACGGCUUACCAAGGCAACGAUGCGUAGCCGACCUGAGAGGGGGAUCGGCCAAACUGGAACGGAGACACGGUCAAGACUCCUACGGGAGGCAGCAGUAGGGAAUCUUCCGCAAUGGGCGAAAGCCUGACGGAGCAACGCCGCGUGAGUGAUGAAGGUCUUCGGAUCGUAAAACUCUGUUAUUAGGGAAGAACAAAUGUGUAAGUAACUAUGCACGUCUUGACGGUACCUAAUCAGAAAGCCACGGCUAACUACGUG
rnacentral:rRNA from 1 species